rnacentral:tRNA from 1 species
AGCCCUGUAGCUCAAUGGUGGAGCAACUGUCCUACAAACAGAGGACCACAGGUUCAAAUCCUGUCAGGGCUACCA